ensembl:lncRNA FAM88F family with sequence similarity 88 member F
ACCCAUAGUACCCCAUUCCUUGCUGCAAUGUAAUUACAAGUGUGCUCCUGGUGGUCUUUAACUGAAGGGCACUGACUGGGUACUGGUGAAGUUCCCCGCAGGAACUGAGUCAGACCCCAUCUCAGGGCCCUGCAGAAGAUAGGUGCCUGCUCUAAGGCGUGGACCCUCGCGACAGCCCUGGCCCGUCUUGACGGGCGAGGGUUACUGUACUUGUCCCAAUCGUACAGAUGAGAAAGCUCAGACUCAGGGCCAGCAACCCCGGUCCCAGCGGAGCGCCCGGCACGCGCCGACACUUCAGCACCAGUCGCGGUGGCCACCACUGUGCGCGGAGAUGGCUGCGACGCGUGCGCAGAUCUCGAUCCCAAACUCCCUCCUGCCAGAAUCUGGACCCGAAUCCACCCAUUGCCCAUUUUCCGCUGCCGCUGGAGAGAAUCUCUGAGGUCCCCAGGACAGCCUGCCUGCACGGAAGAGAUGCCUCCUCAAUUAAAUGCUGUUUUCCAUGACCGUCUCUGUUCUUCCCAUACGCGAAUGGCAGGCAUCCAGAUCUCCAAGAAUAGAGGAUUAGGAGAGACUCCACCACCUAUGUCCUCACAGUUAAUUAUCGAUUUGUGUCACUUGCCCAUUUUCUCACUUCCUGUUUGUGUGUCAAGGAGUAUUAAUAAAUCUUUGCCUAUUUAAAGAUACUAGCCUUGGAUUUUCAAAUAUUGCAUAUUUUGACAUGUAAAAAUGUGUUAGUUUUAUUUUUUCAACCGAUCUGACCUGUAUAGUUGGGCUUGAGGAAGCUUCCUCAUUGUACAUGUUACUAUGGAUUUUCUAAUAUUAACACAGGGUUGUAUUUUUUCCAUAUAACUUUCUAUUGAAUUUCUUUUUCCAUAUGAUAGGUGGUGAAGGUUUAGCCCAGUAAAGCAGAGAGGUUAAGAGGUUAGACUGGGGGCUCUGGAGCCAGACCUAUGUAGAUCUGAGUCCUGGCUCUGGCACUUGAAAGCCGUGUGACCUUGGUUAAGAUACUUAGCCCCUCUCUGCCAAAUGGAGAAAUAAGGGCACCUACCCCGUAGGGUAGUUGUGUGAGUACACAAGUUAAUACACUUCAAUCACUAGCAAGAAAGUGAAUGUCAAGCUGUAUUUGUUCAGGCAGCCAUAUGGUAGCCCCACCUCAUUAGUAAACUGAGGUAUUGAAGUAUCUUCUUUUUCUUUCAGAAAAUAUUUGUCAAGCACCUUCUGUGUUCUAAGAACUGUUCUAGAGCUUUGCAUGCUAUGGAGGUCUAGAAAUUCACAUUAUGGUGGCAGGUGACAGACAAUACAAAGAGGUAAAGCAAUUUCAUAUAGUGAUAACCUAGGGAGGCGUGCUAAAAGGAGCCAAGGUGUAGUGGUGACUGGAAGGUGACCAGGGAAACCACUGUAGGGUUUCUAACUGAUGAGAUCUGUGACAAAUCCCUGUGGUCAGCAGCAGGCAUUGGAUAUGUAACUUUAUUCUGUCCCAUUGAUCUUGUAGUCAACCCUGGUCUGUUCUGUAUUGUUUUAAUUACAUAAUCUUUGUAAUAAUCUUUAA